CAAGAUAGGGACAAGCUCUCAAACUUGUGUUCCAUUUUCAAGAGCUGAAGCAAAUCCGUAAAAUGUCUUAGCGAUCAUACAGAAAAAAUUCACACUAACGGUUGGAAUUGAUUGCUAAACUACUCUUCUAAAAUCCUUGGAGUUAAAAUUGUUAGUGUGAUAUUUAGACUACACAAGAUAGGGACAAGCUCUAAAACCAGGGUUCCAUUUUUAAGAGCGGAAGCAAAUUUUUAAAAUUUCUUAAUGAUCACACAGAGAAAAUUCACGUUAAGACUACACAAGAUAGAGACAAGCUCUCAAAGUAGGUUCCAUUUUCAAGAGCGGACGCAAAUUUUUAAAAUUUCUUAAUGAUCACAAAGAAUUUUCACACUAAGACUACACAAGAUAGGGACAAACUCUCAAACUGGGGUUCCAUUUUCAAUAGCAGAAGCAAAUUUUUAAAAUUUCUUAAAUAUCACACAGAGAGAAUUCACACUAAGAUAUUUCUUGGCUGAUCAGAGUUCUCAUCUAGAUGAUCAGAGUUGUAUCUGGUUGAUUGGACUACUCAUUAGUCUGAUCAGCCAGCCUGAUGACUGCUCAUUCUGGGAUCUAUGCUUUGAGCUGAUACCAUUCAGAUGAUAGAGCAUGCCUUACAGCAUCUAGACCAAACAAUAUGUAACACUCCAAACCUGUCAAAAUAGAGACAGGUUAGUCACUAUUAGAGAUGAGACCAAGCGUAUGAUUGACAUUAUUCGAUUGUACAAUCCCUAUGAUGAGAUCAACAUCAAGGAAUUAUAUGUUUCUCUUUCCAGUAGAGUUAAAGAGGCCAUAAAAAUGGUCAAGCAUUUCGAGGCGAGUUUUAUAGAUAAUGUUCAUGCUAUGUUCCCAUUUUAUACUGCACCACAUACAAGUGUCCCCAUUUCCAUUCAUUCUUCCGAGUUCAGUGGGAUUGGGAGAGCCAUUGAGGCUGCAGUUUAGAUAUCAAGUAUGAAAAAUUUGGUAACAUGUAUAUUUUAAAAUUGAUCACAUGUUCAAGUUAAAACCCUUGAUUAAAAUUGAACAUUUGAAUUUUAUAUAUUAGAAGCAUGGUGUUGUUUUAGUGGCCA